UACGAAGGGGGCUAGCGUUGCUCGGAAUCACUGGGCGUAAAGCGCACGUAGGCGGGUCGCUAAGUCGGGGGUGAAAUGCCGAGGCUCAACCUCGGAACUGCCUUUGAUACUGGCGAUCUUAGAGUCCGGGAGAGGUGAGUGGAACUCCGAGUGUAGAGGUGAAAUUCGUAGAUAUUCGCAAGAACACCAGUGGCGAAGGCGGCUCACUGGCCCGGUACCGACGCUGAGGCACGAAAGCGUGGGGAGCAAACAGG
rnacentral:rRNA from 1 species